CCGAGAGCAUGUUGAACGAGUCCGACACCAGCGCGAUGGAGUUGCCCAGGUAGCCGGAGACCAGCUCGGCCACGAAGAAGCCGGAGUUCUACCUUUAAUAUUACUCAAAAUAACACUUGUCAAAUUGAUGGAGAAAGAGCUACAUCCUAGGGGACUGCUGAGGGUUUGCAGGCCUUGGAGGACUGGCAAUGGGAUACAAAGCUUUAAGCUCAUCAGGAUGCUGGGUUUGGAAGCCAAGGCUGCCAAGGAUUCACAGGAAAGCAAUGGACAAGCCCACUGAGCCUGUGCAAUCUGAACUGCACUCCUAGCCACUGGCUAAUUCCUCCCUCCCUCGGAUAUAUCAGAGCCCUAUGGUGAAGGGAAGGUGCACAGGAAACUGGUGCGAGAAGCAGUAAAUGCCAAGUGGAUUUUCACUCAGAGGUGUCAGAAUAGGGAGCAUCUCGCUGGCUCCACUCACUCUUCACACCAAAGGACUGAACUCCAACCAACUUAAGACUGGAGACGUGGCUUUCAUGAUCUCCAGAGCAACAUGCUGUGGAGGUGGGGCUCAUCCUAUUACUCUGGUUUGGGGGCUUUGCUGACCCAUGUUACUCCCUGUCUGCUUCAUUCAAGAACUUAUACAUGGGAGAGAGGAAUAGAG